GUGAAUCAUCGAAUUUUUGAACGCAAAUUGCGCCUUUUUCGAAAGGCAUGUCUGUUUGAGGGCACCAUUUAACAAAUAAUGUGCAGCGGUUUUUGUUGCACACGUUGAUGAGCUUUCCAAGAAUUUUAAAUUUUUGGUGGCGCAUAAUGAACAGCGUGAAGCUUUUUUUUCAAUUUGGGGGGAGUUAAAUUUUUUGAUGGGGUA
rnacentral:misc_RNA from 1 species